CCUACGGGCGGCUGCAGUGGGGAAUAUUGGACAAUGGGGGCAACCCUGAUCCAGCCAUGCCGCGUGUGUGAAGAAGGCCCUCGGGUUGUAAAGCACUUUCAGUGAGGAAGAACGCCUGGUGGUUAAUACCCAUCAGGAAAGACAUCACUCACAGAAGAAGCACCGGCUAACUCCGUGCCAGCGGCCGCGGUAAUACGGAGGGUGCGAGCGUUAAUCGGAAUUACUGGGCGUAAAGCGCGCGUAGGUGGCUUGAUAAGCCGGUUGUGAAAGCCCCGGGCUCAACCUGGGAACGGCAUCCGGAACUGUCAAGCUAGAGUGCAGGAGAGGAAGGUAGAAUUCCCGGUGUAGCGGUGAAAUGCGUAGAGAUCGGGAGGAAUACCAGUGGCGAAGGCGGCCUUCUGGACUGACACUGACACUGAGGUGCGAAAGCGUGGGUAGCAAACAGGAUUAGAUACCCUUGUAGUC
rnacentral:rRNA from 1 species